CACAAUAAACACACACCCUCACAUAUAUCAUUGAUGCAGGUUUAUCACCACCCCCCUCCCAUCUUUUUCUUCCUCCUCACCUUUACCUGCAACUGAAACCUCUCACAUAUACAUCCUAAAAAUCAAAUCUCUCACAAACAAAACCCGCUAAUAGAGGUGUUGGUUCUAGGAGUCAAGACAUCUGAUGACAUCGCUCAGCCACCGCUUCAUCUUCUCCGACAUUGGUUUAAAUAUUCUUAUGGGUUUUCAGUUUACAUCAUCUCAUCUUCUGGGUUUUUGAUUUCCACAAAGAGGGGUAAGAUCGGCAAGAAAAAAACACCUUUAAUUGCAAGAAUGAAGAUCAAAUAAGGGUGGGAUGAAAUUGUAGUCGCUUCUCCAUCAGCCUCAUCUUUGAAGACACAAUUGAUGCAUCUAAAUCACUUACAAUUUUCCCUUAUUUUAGUUCCAACUCCUUAAUUUUGUAUUCCUAUUUCUAUACAUCUUCAUCUAUUGCUGAAUUGGAUGUCUUAGGAAAGAAAAUUGGAAUCGUAUGCUUCUAAAUAGAUCAGAAAAAGAAGAAGGAAAACAAUGCAAUCCAGGUGCUCGAUGAAACACCUGAAAGAAAAGUAUCUUCAGAUAUUUCAAUAUAUGAAAGAAAAGUACCUUUACUGAGGUUCUGGAAAUGAAAUACUUCUAAAAUACAAACACAUAUCAGAAGAGAAUAGUGAAGGAAUCGGGAAUGAAUUCAUUGUUCAGCCAAGAAGGAAUAUGGAGUAUGUUGCAGUCAUCAAAGAUAGAUCAGAAGAAGGAAUCUGGAGUAUGCUGAGAGGAAUACGAUUGGUUUUUGAAGUUGGAAAACUAAUUGAAGAAUUUGGUUUUUUGGGGACAACUUAUGUGUAUAAUCAAGUAGCAAAAUGGUAAAAAAUCUGGGUUUUUUCCUCGAUUUGUAGAUGAUAGAUGAAGAAGAAGAAGAAAAAGAAGAGAGAGAGAGAGUAUGGUGGGGUGGUUGGUAGCAAAUUGUUUUAGUUUUUUGUUUUUUUUUAAAAUCAAAAUAGUAUUAAAAUAAUUAUAAAAAAGAAAAUAAAAGAAAAUAACCGUCUUUUUAAGUUUUUUUGGACCAAAAUCAAAAAAAAAAAAUUCUUGAAUUUGGACCUUCCAUACAAGUCGAAAACUUUUUGGACCCUAUCCAAAGGUUUUUGAAUACCACAGGGACCAAAUUUACAGUUUUGUCUAAAUUUUUUUUAUAGACCCAUGUAGUAUACGGGUCUCACACCUAGUUUAAUAAUAUUCAUCAAUUUUAACGGUAAAAGAGUUGGUAGAAGAGUUAGGCCGAAGAAAAAACAAAAAAUAGGUAAAGGGUUGUUAUUUAAAUACAUCAAGCCAGACUUUUGGUCUUAUAUAUAUAAUUGUUCAAAUCAAAUAAUUCACUCAUAUAGUAGAAUGAUUAAUUUAUGAGAAUUACCAAAUACCAUCAUUUUGUUGUAAUAAAUACAUAUGCUUAGAACUUAGAAAAACAGGAACGAAG
rnacentral:lncRNA from 1 species